UGUAGCACAUGAACCCUUUCAGUGACUC
rnacentral:piRNA from 1 species